rnacentral:rRNA from 1 species
UACGUAGGAGGCAAGCGUUGUCCGGAAUUACUGGGUGUAAAGCGCGUGUAGGCGGCAGGCCAAGUCUGUGGUGAAAUCGCUCGGCUCAACUGGGCGGGGUCCAUGGAAACUGGUCAGCUGGAGGACGGUAGAGGUGAGUGGAAUUCCCGGUGUAGUGGUGAAAUGCGUAGAGAUCGGGAGGAACACCCGUGGCGAAGGCAGGUUAUUGGGCUUUAUCUGACGCUGAGGCGCGAAAGCGUGGGUAGCAAACAGG